UGAAAUGAAAUACCAUUUAAAUAUAUGAAUUAAAUAAAAAAGAGAGAAAAAAUUUUACCAAAAGCCUAAUAUUAUGGGCUUGAAAGAUAGGCUCUUUUUUUUUUUGCCGGAUUUGCGCCUGGAGGGCCUGCUGCCGAAUUCGGGCCUGGGGGCCUGCUUGAUCUGCUGCUGUUGAGCUGAAGCUGCUGGGCUACUGCACUGGGCCUGCUGCUGGAAUGGGCCGAAUCUGCUAGACUGUUGCACUGGGCCUGCUGGUAGACUGCUGUAGCCUGCUUCUUUUGUGGGUUUAGGGCUGCUGGGUCACUGCUGCUGGAACCUGCUGUUUGCAGCAGGUCGAUCCGGGUCGGGUCGGAUCCGGGUCGGGUCAACAGGAUAUAUUUACCCUUUUUUUUCUCUUUCUAUUUUUCAUUCUUUUUCAUUCUUUUUCUCUCUAUUUUUUCGGGUUGAAAUCUAGCCCUUUUUUCUUUCGCCGCCGUCGGUGUCUCUGGAGCACGGUGGUGGGACAGGCGCCGAUGCUCUCCCUUCCCUCCUUUCUUCCUCUUCUUUCUUCUCUUCCUUCUUCUUUACUAUUUGGGUUGUUUUUUGUCUUUUUGCUGGCUGUUUUUUUUUGUUUUCUUCUUGCUUGUUUGUGUAAGUGCGACGGUGGUGAGAAGAAUGCCAAGGCAUGGCGGUGGGCACGGUGGUGGUGAAGGCGGUGGUGGCAGAGAAGCCAUCAUGGCCUAGGGAGGCUGCUGGAGUAGCUCGGCUGGGAGGGGUACGCUCGGCUGCUAAUUGCGGGGAUUAGACAAGUGCAGGAGGACCAAAUUGCAGAGGAUGCAAAGCUUCUUGGGCAAAAGUGCAAUUUUAGCAAAAAUAUGGGCCAAAAUGUAAUUUUUGGGAAGUUUAGGGCCUUGAACGUAAUUUACAAAAUAUUAGGGGUCAAGAUGCAAAUUUGGAAAAAUUUAGGGGUUAAAAUGUAAUUUUUUAAGAAUUCGGGGGCUAAAACGUAAUUUAUCUUGUAUUUUUUAUUUA